rnacentral:tRNA from 1 species
CAGGGAGACAACAAAAUGUUUAAUAUUAUUAUUUUGUCACCUUAGGUCGAUCGGUAUCUCACGUUCUUAAUUAAUUAAGAAUUUCAUUUCCUAAGUUUUUCUAGGUCACACCCAUUAUUUUUCCUGGGCCAUUAGCUCAGGUGGUUAGAGCGCACCCCUGAUAAGGGUGAGGUCCCUGGUUCAAGUCCAGGAUGGCCCAUAUCUCUAUGUUGGGGGUAUAGCUCAGUUGGUAGAGCGCCUGCUUUGCAAGCAGGAUGUCAGCGGUUCGAGUCCGCUUACCUCCACUGAUUACCACCUCUUCCAUAAACUGGAGAAAGGAAAUUUUUUGGGUUUUGAUCAAAUUCUGAACGAAUCUAGCUUCCUAAUGAAAUCAUUAAGACGCUGGACUCAUUGAAUUAAUUUCAUUGUUUUCAGAGAACCUUGACAACUGCAUAGAUUAUUUUUAAAGACAAUAAGCAUCUUUAAUGAUGCAGAUUUAUUAUUUGUGCAAAUGCAUUAAUAACAAUUCUAUUAAGCUGAUGCUUCA